rnacentral:rRNA from 1 species
UAGGGAAUCUUCGGCAAUGGACGGAAGUCUGACCGAGCAACGCCGCGUGAGUGAAGAAGGUUUUCGGAUCGUAAAGCUCUGUUGUAAGAGAAGAACGAGUGUGAGAGUGGAAAGUUCACACUGUGACGGUAUCUUACCAGAAAGGGACGGCUAACUACGUGCCAGCAGCCGCGGUAAUACGUAGGUCCCGAGCGUUGUCCGGAUUUAUUGGGCGUAAAGCGAGCGCAGGCGGUUAGAUAAGUCUGAAGUUAAAGGCUGUGGCUUAACCAUAGUAGGCUUUGGAAACUGUUUAACUUGAGUGCAAGAGGGGAGAGUGGAAUUCCAUGUGUAGCGGUGAAAUGCGUAGAUAUAUGGAGGAACACCGGUGGCGAAAGCGGCUCUCUGGCUUGUAACUGACGCUGAGGCUCGAAAGCGUGGGGAGCAAACAGGAUUAGAUACCCUGGUAGUCCACGCUGUAAACGAUGAGUGCUAGGUGUUAGACCCUUUCCGGGGUUUAGUGCCGUAGCUAACGCACUAAGCACUCCGCCUGGGGAGUACGACCGCAAGGUUG